AGCCUAAACUAUCGUGCAAGCGGUGGCAUGGUGAAAAAACCAGUGGCGGAUAGAGAACCCAUCAAUAAUGGGGCUUCCGUCACUGGUCAUGCACCGAAAGGUGUGUGGAUGACGCAAGUCAUC
rnacentral:sRNA from 1 species